UAGGCUUCGCUAGCCUGGCGCUGGGGGCGGGCACCAGCCCCCACCCCUCGGCGUCCCCUCCCCUUCACUUCCCCCUCCCCCUGUCCCCUCCCUUCCCUCCCUUCCCCCCCGUGGCGAGGCAGCAGCGGAGGCGGCGGCGGCAGCGGCGGUCGAGGCUGAGGCUGAGGAGGCGGCGGCGGCGGCGGGCGGGGCUCGGCUCGGGCUCCGCGGGCGGGCGGGCGGACAUGGCGGCCAACAUGUACCGGGUCGGAGAUUAUGUCUACUUUGAGAAUUCCUCCAGCAACCCAUACCUAAUAAGAAGGAUAGAAGAACUCAACAAGACUGCAAGUGGCAACGUGGAAGCAAAAGUAGUAUGCUUUUAUAGACGACGUGAUAUUUCCAACACACUUAUAAUGCUCGCAGAUAAGCAUGCUAAAGAAAUUGAGGAAGAAUCUGAAACAACAGUUGAGGCUGACUUGACUGAUAAGCAGAAACAUCAGUUGAAACAUAGGGAACUCUUUUUGUCACGCCAGUAUGAAUCUCUGCCCGCAACACAUAUCAGGGGAAAGUGCAGUGUUGCCCUUCUGAAUGAGACAGAAUCAGUAUUGUCAUAUCUUGAUAAAGAGGAUACCUUCUUCUACUCAUUGGUCUAUGACCCCUCAUUGAAAACGCUAUUAGCUGACAAAGGUGAAAUCAGAGUGGGACCUAGAUAUCAGGCAGACAUUCCAGAAAUGCUGUUAGAAGGAGAAUCAGAUGAGAGGGAACAGUCAAAAUUGGAAGUUAAAGUUUGGGAUCCAAAUAGCCCACUUACGGAUCGACAGAUUGACCAGUUUUUAGUUGUAGCACGUGCUGUUGGGACAUUCGCUAGAGCCCUGGAUUGCAGCAGUUCUGUGAGGCAGCCUAGUUUGCAUAUGAGUGCUGCUGCAGCUUCCCGAGACAUCACCUUGUUUCACGCUAUGGAUACAUUGUAUAGACACAGCUAUGAUUUGAGCAGUGCCAUUAGUGUCUUAGUACCACUCGGAGGACCUGUUUUAUGCAGAGAUGAAAUGGAGGAAUGGUCAGCCUCUGAAGCUAGCUUAUUUGAAGAGGCACUGGAAAAAUAUGGCAAAGACUUCAAUGACAUACGGCAAGAUUUUCUUCCUUGGAAAUCAUUGACUAGCAUCAUUGAAUAUUAUUACAUGUGGAAAACUACUGACAGAUAUGUGCAACAGAAACGUCUAAAAGCAGCAGAAGCUGAGAGUAAACUGAAACAAGUAUAUAUCCCAACUUACAGCAAACCAAAUCCCAACCAAAUAUCCACUAGUAAUGGGAAGCCUGGUGCUGUGAAUGGAGCUGUGGGGACCACGUUCCAGCCUCAGAAUCCUCUUUUAGGGAGAGCCUGUGAGAGCUGCUAUGCUACACAGUCUCACCAGUGGUAUUCCUGGGGCCCACCUAAUAUGCAGUGUAGAUUAUGUGCAAUUUGUUGGCUUUAUUGGAAAAAAUAUGGAGGCUUGAAAAUGCCCACCCAGUCAGAAGAAGAGAAGUUAUCUCCUAGCCCAACUACAGAGGACCCUCGUGUUAGAAGUCACGUAUCCCGCCAGGCCAUGCAGGGAAUGCCAGUUAGAAAUACUGGGAGUCCAAAGUCUGCAGUGAAGACCCGCCAAGCUUUCUUCCUUCAUACUACAUAUUUCACAAAAUUUGCUCGCCAGGUCUGCAAAAAUACCCUCCGGCUACGGCAGGCAGCAAGACGGCCGUUUGUUGCUAUUAAUUAUGCUGCCAUUAGGGCAGAAUAUGCAGACAGACAUGCUGAACUAUCCGGAAGUCCACUGAAAAGCAAAAGCACUAGGAAACCUUUGGCAUGUAUCAUUGGGUAUUUAGAGAUCCAUCCUGCAAAGAAACCUAAUGUAAUUCGAUCUACACCAAGCCUGCAAACCCCAACUACCAAGCGGAUGCUAACAACUCCAAAUCACACAUCUCUGAGCAUUCUGGGGAAAAGAAACUAUAGUCAUCACAAUGGUCUGGAUGAAAAGCUCAUGAAGUGAAAGCACAGCUCUGCUCCAUCCUGCAGCCCUUCCUCGGCAUGCCCUGAGGCUGUGAAGAACUCACGUGCUGUGUGUCAGACUGAGCUUUCCCUGAUUCAUUCUACAAUCCAAGACUUGCUGCACUGUCCUGCUGAUGUUCACAGUCGUGCCUGGGAAGGAGGCAGCCCCACUCCCAGUACAUUUCAGUGGGAGACCUCUGCGUGCAUCCAUGGAGACGCAAUGGGGUGGGGAAGGAACUGUGGGAGUGCACGUUCCAAAUCCUGUGUCUCCACGUGUGGAUCAGCAGCACUUCGCUUUCUUGUCAGAGACCUCGCUGUUACAGAGCGAGACCUGCUGAGAAGUGAGGGGCUGAGGGAACCCCUCCACCUCCUCCCUUCUGCAGCGCCCUGCACCCCUCCCAGCAACAGCGGUCACUUGGCAGUGGGGCUGCUGCGAGCUCAGAGCCGCUGUCACCCUGCAUGUGUCCGCUCAGCUCGGUCUUAUGCUGUAUAGUUACUAAAUAUGUACAGGAGGGCCAUGGCAUCUUUCUGAGUGGAUUUUUCUUAAGAAAUGUGCCAGUGUUUAUGAGGUUCAUGGCAUUUCCCUGUCCUUGCUGUUACCGUCACUCAGCUUUUUCUCCAUAGGCUUCAUACUUUUUUUUUUUUUUGAAAUGGGGGAAUCUGCUGUUUGCCCCCAGCAUUCCUAUAUGUGACCCUCCCUCCUACUCCUCCAAGGAACAGAGUUGCCUGAGGUUCUGACAAAAGAUAAGCCUGUAAACUCAUCAUCUGUGUUUUGUAGUUGGAGAGAAGCUGGUGUUCUGCCCGGCUCUGCUUGGUCCCAGACAGCUCCAGCAAGAGCAGGUGUUAAAAGUGCCAAGCGUGUGUAUCACUGUGACGAGCCGUUUGCUUACUGCCCUGUUCCCUUGCAGCCACACCAGCUGAUGAAGAACUGCUGCCAGGUGGGUCCUUCAGCAGGCCACAAAUGACCUAGUUUCAUUUUAAGCAGACAGACUCUGUUUGGCCCAGGGGCGUGGAGUGAGAGAACUGUGUUUGUGGGUAUGAGUCUGUAUGGCCAACCCCGUGACCCCACCCCUCCAGCCCAAAUCCUGUGAGCACAUGUGACCUAGGCCCCAGGGACCUGUCUGCUCCUCUGGCUUGAGCUCUUGGCGUUUCCCACCUGCCCUCAGCACCAGCCCUCGGUGGCAUCACAGUUGGCCACUCAGCUGCUCUGUGCUGGCAACUGCAAGGAUAGGAACAGCGCAGCGCCCGAUGAGCUCCCUGGGCAGAUGUGAGGCUGGCAACUCCCCUGCCCUCUGUUUGCAGGCAUAGGCCAUGGGGCACAGGGUCACAGUCCUAUGAAAGACAACUGGAGUCUGACCUCCCAGCCAUCUCUGGGGUGACUGGGAGACAGCUGGAUAGCAGGUAUGAGAGGCCCACAUAGCCAAGUUGUUGCAAGACACAGUGGCUACAAUUGAAUUGACUCCCUGGGAAGAACGAGGUAACACAGUAAGGGUAAUGAUGCUCUAGAUGUCUGUGUCCUCGGAGGCUGGGCUCCGCUUGGCAGAGAGAGCGUGGUGUUUGAGGUGGAGGGCGGUUUUGCAGACAUCUCAGCUUCUUUUCUGAGGAGGAGUUGGUUCUCAUCUCAGGCUUCUGCAAGGGCGAUCAUGGGAUGUUUCUACCACCACCCACUCUUGGAGCUGUACUGGGUCUUGGCUUGGGGCCCCGAGGGUGGGCCCUGUGUCAGAAGCGUUAGGUGAGAUGGGUGGAGGUGGCAGGCAGGUGUUCUCAGGGUUCCCACUGACAGGUCCCUUCACCAGAGACCUGGGAGGAGGUCUUUGCUCUCCAAGUGCCGCAUCAUGUGGGAUGUUUCUUCCCUAAAGAAAAAGACACAGGAAAGUUGUCUGUCUGUGCCCUGCUCUGGAUUUAUUGUUGUACUUGGACCCAGAAAGGGAAAUGCUUCCCUCACCCUUUCACUUUCUUUCUGAACCCCUGUUAAGUGAUGACUGCAGAUUCUGGAAACAAUUAGCUACCCAUGACUCAGCUGUCAGCUUCAUUUUCUCUGCCUUUUGGGAGAGGCCCUCUCACCCAGGCCCAAGAGAUUUGGAGACAGGAGUCAGCCAGGUCUGAAGCAGGAGAAGGGAGGCCCCUCCUGUCUACCCAGUUGAAAUUUGGCUUUGGGAAGAGCACAGCUUGUUCGAGCUACAUGUGCCAAGCAGGCUUUUCCUUCCUCUUGUAAGUAAAGUUCAUGGUUCUGCAGUCCCAUCAUCCUAGGAGGGUUAUAUUGACUGAGACUUCAAGCUCUCCCUUUGUCUCUGGAAACUGCCCCCUCGUUCUGACAGACUCCCCCGGGCAGUGGAGGAAGGAUGCCGAGGCGCCUCUAGUCCAUGCCUUUGCUCAGCAUUUGGUGCUGAGAGGGUUUCCCAACCACCCCCUCCCUUUCUGGGGCCACGGUGUCGCUGCUGUGUGUCAGUGGCAUGUCACUGUGGUUCAGUGAGCACAUGGGUGGACGUGCAGAGACUGUCUGCUCAGCCCCCAGCAGACAUGCCCCUGGGGUGAGGACACAGGCUCUGCAGGGCAUCUCCCCCUCUGGCUCAGUCAUCGCCUGCCCACCCUUCACUUCUUAAAGGUGCACAAGAGAGGAGGGCCGGCUGGAGGGUGUUGUCGGAAGGUUUCAGCCUGCCCUUCACAAUUCCCCUUGUGCACAGCCCAGUUUCCAUCGCUCAGGGCCCACCCAGGAAAAUGGAUUUCAAAUGGGGGUUUUCAUCCAGAGAUUUGUUUAACACAAAACAAGAAAAGCUGAGAGGCAAAACAGGGGAGUGAGGGGCAACCCAGAGGUGGGAACAGCAACAGCAAGCUGCCCCCAUCCUGAAACUGGCUGGGCGCCAUGGGAGGACGCAUCACCAGAGCCUGGGGCCAAGGCCACUGGGGGACCUGCCAUACCGCGGACCUGUCUGGUGGGAGCUGGAGCCUUGAGAAGCCAUGGUUCUUGUCAGAAACAUUUCCCCAGGCGGAGAGAGGGGGCCCCGGCCUCUCCCCUCCUCUUGGCCUCCAGAGUCCUGCAAGUGCCUCACAAUAGUGAAGCCCAGUUGGAAGCAGCUGCCCCGGGAGCCUGGGACAGGCAACCCACCAGGUCAGUCCCCUGCCACUCAGAGCAGAGCAGAACAGCGGGCUGAGGGCAAGCAGGUGGGGCUGUGCGUGGCCUCGGUGCACUCAGUGUCAUGUCUGAGCCUGGUGUUCGUGCCCCACUGCUGUCCUAAGUCCCUGGCGAGGGGAGGCGGAGGAGCUGCCCCGUGGGUGUUUGGAGAUUCUGUUUUACUCUGCCAUGGAGGAAACGGUUUUGGGGAGGGAGGGGGAAGCCUUUAUUCUUUACUGUUGGCCCUGUUUUCCUUUGGGGGAAUUUACCCAGUUAGCAGCCCCUCCUCACCAUUCCCCCCAGGAAGGCCAUGUCCCAGUUUUCUGUCCACCCCUCCUGUUCCUCUGCACCGUGUCUCUGAUUUUCCCUGCCACGGAAGCUAACCCAGAGCACACACCCAUGCUCAUGAGUGUUUCCCCAGGAUAAUUCAUUCUGAGCAUGAUAUCGCAGUGUGGACUGUCUGUCUGUAAGAAGAUGCCAUCUACUAACUAAUUUGUAUUGUGUUUCCAAUAAAUUCCUGGAAAUUUUG